rnacentral:rRNA from 1 species
AGAGUUUGAUCCUGGCUCAGAGUGAACGCUGGCGGCAGGCCUAAUACAUGCAAGUCGAACGGCAGCACAGCAGAGCUUGCUCUGUGGGUGGCGAGUGGCGGACGGGUGAGGAAUACAUGGGAAUCUGCCCAGUCGUGGGGGAUAACGUAGGGAAACUUACGCUAAUACCGCAUGCGCCCUUCGGGGAAAGCCGGGGACCUUCGGGCCUGGCGCGAUUGGAUGAGCCCAUGUCGGAUUAGCUAGUUGGCGGGGUAAUGGCCCACCAAGGCGACGAUCCGUAGCUGGUCUGAGAGGAUGAUCAGCCACACUGGAACUGAGACACGGUCCAGACUCCUACGGGAGGCAGCAGUAGGGAAUAUUGGACAAUGGGCGCAAGCCUGAUCCAGCCAUGCCGCGUGAGUGAAGAAGGCCCUCGGGUUGUAAAGCUCUUUUGUCCGGAAAGAAAAGCGCCGGGUUAAUACCCUAGUGUCCUGACGGUACCGGAAGAAUAAGCACCGGCUAACUUCGUG